rnacentral:rRNA from 1 species
GAACGGGUGAGUAACACGUGGGUGAUCUGCCCUGCACUUUGGGAUAAGCCUGGGAAACUGGGUCUAAUACCGAAUAUGACCAUGCGCCUCCUGGUGUGUGGUGGAAAGCUUUUGCGGUGUGGGAUGGGCCCGCGGCCUAUCAGCUUGUUGGUGGGGUAAUGGCCUACCAAGGCGACGACGGGUAGCCGGCCUGAGAGGGUGACUGGCCACACUGGGACUGAGAUACGGCCCAGACUCCUACGGGAGGCAGCAGUGGGGAAUAUUGCACAAUGGGCGCAAGCCUGAUGCAGCGACGCCGCGUGAGGGAUGACGGCCUUCGGGUUGUAAACCUCUUUCAGCACAGACGAAGCGCAAGUGACGGUAUGUGCAGAAGAAGGACCGGCCAACUACGUGCCAGCAGCCGCGGUAAUACGUAGGGUCCGAGCGUUGUCCGGAAUUACUGGGCGUAAAGAGCUCGUAGGUGGUUUGUCGCGUUGUUCGUGAAAACUCACAGCUUAACUGUGGGCGUGCGGGCGAUACGGGCAGACUUGAGUACUGCAGGGGAGACUGGAAUUCCUGGUGUAGCGGUGGAAUGCGCAGAUAUCAGGAGGAACACCGGUGGCGAAGGCGGGUCUCUGGGCAGUAACUGACGCUGAGGAGCGAAAGCGUGGGGAGCGAACAGGAUUAGAUACCCUGGUAGUCCACGCCGUAAACGGUGGGUACUAGGUGUGGGUUUCCUUCCUUGGGAUCCGUGCCGUAGCUAACGCAUUAAGUACCCCGCCUGGGGAGUACGGCCGCAAGGCUAAAACUCAAAGAAAUUGACGGGGGCCCGCACAAGCGGCGGAGCAUGUGGAUUAAUUCGAU